GUGGCGAACGGGUGAGUAACACGUGAGCAACCUGCCCUGGACUCUGGGAUAAGCGCUGGAAACGGCGUCUAAUACUGGAUAUGAGCUCUCAUCGCAUGGUGGGGGUUGGAAAGAUUUUUUGGUCUGGGAUGGGCUCGCGGCCUAUCAGCUUGUUGGUGAGGUAAUGGCUCACCAAGGCGUCGACGGGUAGCCGGCCUGAGAGGGUGACCGGCCACACUGGGACUGAGACACGGCCCAGACUCCUACGGGAGGCAGCAGUGGGGAAUAUUGCACAAUGGGCGGAAGCCUGAUGCAGCAACGCCGCGUGAGGGAUGACGGCCUUCGGGUUGUAAACCUCUUUUAGCAAGGAAGAAGCGUGAGUGACGGUACUUGCAGAAAAAGCGCCGGCUAACUACGUGCCAGCAGCCGCGGUAAUACGUAGGGCGCAAGCGUUAUCCGGAAUUAUUGGGCGUAAAGAGCUCGUAGGCGGUUUGUCGCGUCUGCUGUGAAAUCCCGAGGCUCAACCUCGGGCCUGCAGUGGGUACGGGCAGACUAGAGUGCGGUAGGGGAGAUUGGAAUUCCUGGUGUAGCGGUGGAAUGCGCAGAUAUCAGGAGGAACACCGAUGGCGAAGGCAGAUCUC
rnacentral:rRNA from 1 species